rnacentral:lncRNA from 1 species
UAAAUUGAGAUUUAAGGAUCGAAGCCAUUAUUCACAGAAACAAACAUAGAAAGUCGCUUAACGCUAAACUCGCAAGUUAAAAGACCUAAAAGAGAUCAAGCUGAGCUCCAAAUACAUUAGGCCAUGAAUGAAUAAGCCGAACUGAUUAAUGAUAAUAAUAAUAAUAAUUUUCUAAAUGAGGCUGUACCCCACAUCAUUAGCACAGUUAUUACCCAACAUAUGAAUGAAUCAUAUCGCAGUUUAUUUGGGACUUUUUUUUUUAAUGUGGAAUUUUUUUUUUUUUUUUUUGCUGUCGAUGGUGAAAAGCAAUGCCAACAAAUGUCUCUCUACCCAGAAUUCACUCAAAGAUUGUUCUAUGGCAGUGUCCUUGUGGGUCCGAGUAAUGGGGUUGCAGAUGGCUUCAGGAGACUCGAGUCAGGUCCUCAUGCCUGAGACACUUUACUCAAUAAACCUUGGCAGUUACAAAUACGUGCUGCCACCAACUUAGAGCAGAUACUUGGGGCAGAUAAGCAGGGAGAGAGGAAAUUGUUAGGUCCAUUUUGGAUGUACCAUGCAUCUGUUUCCUUUGGCAUACCCAAGUUAAAACCACCACAUCGCUGCAAGGACAUCCAUCCCACACCUGUCAAGCUCUACAGGAGCCAGUGGACAGGUUCCCUUUGCCCUUCCUGUCCAGCUAGCCAGAUUGUAAUGGAGAUAUGGCACCCUAAUGAUAUCCUUCAUACAUGGCUAGGUCAGGAAGCCCAGCACAGUGGAGCUGAAGAGUUGAGGGAACACUGCAUCUCAUAUGGAAUGUUUUGAGUAUUUGGGCAUCCUUAGAUAUGCUAGCCAUUAUCACCUCUGGCUUUGCUCCCUGCCCUAUCUUCUUUUACACGUUCCUGCCCAUACUCUAUCCUCUCUAUUUUUCUUUUGGUACCCAGACUUAUAAAGGACUUAAGCCUGCUUAGGGUGGGACAUAGGGUAGAGUCAUUGGCAUUUCAGGGAAAAUCUCCGAGCACAGAAAGAUAUUUUGUGUGUGUGUGUGUG